rnacentral:rRNA from 1 species
AACGUAGGGGGCAAGCGUUGCCCGGAUUCACUGGGCGUAAAGCGGGUGUAGGCGGUCCUUUAAGUCAGGUGUGAAAUCCUGCGGCUCAACCGCGGAACUGCAUCUGAUACUGGGGGACUUGAGGACGGUAGAGGUCGGUGGAAUCCCCUGUGUACCGGUGAAAUGGGCAGAUAUAGGGGGGAACACCAGUGGCGAAGGCGGCCGACUGGGCCGAUCCUGACGCUGAGACCCGAAAGCCAGGGUAGCGAACCGG